rnacentral:lncRNA from 1 species
GCGCAGCGGAGACCUCGGCAUCUGCGGUGCUCGGGAUUGUGUCCCCUACGGUCUCUUACCGUGCCUCCCGAUGGCGGGAGCUGGAAUUUGGUCCCCAGACCCCUUGGGAAGACGCGCACACCCUGGCAAACCAUGUGUACACCCGCGGUAGAAGCAGGGAAACGCUGACCAGUUUGUGUGAACGCCAUCACCCACACUCUUGAAAUAUAUCUGGAAAGUGCCGGAAGUGAACUGGGGGAUCCUUGCCUCCCAAAACAGGGAUGGGCUCUGAACGCCCCACCACGGCCUGCUGCCACGCGCGCCUCUCGCUGCAGGAGCGGUGGAUCCACCGAUGGGCUUCCAGGGCGGUCUUGCGCUUGAAGCCUUUCCCACACUCCACGCAGGGGAAGGGCCGGCUGUCGGAGUGAAUGCGCCGGUGACUGAGGAGGAGGGAAGAAUAGGUGAAGCGGCGGCCGCAGUCAGGACAGGGGUAGGGCUUCUCGCCGGUGUGUAUGCGCCUGUGGAUGGCCAGCAGGGAGGUGUAGGCGAAACGGAGGCUGCAAUCGGGGCAGCUGUAGGGCUUCUCGCCCGUGUGCUUGCGCUGGUGGAUGGCCAGCAGGUAGGGGUAAGUGAAGCGACUCUUGCAGUCUGAGCACGCGUAAGGCUUCUCCCCGGUGUGAGCCCGCCUGUGGAUAGCCAGGGAACCCCUCUGGCGGAAGCGGCGCCCGCAGUCGGGGCAGGGGUAGGGCUUCUCGCCGGUGUGGAUGAACUGAUGCUGGAGCAGGUACCUGCGCUGGGAGAAACGCGCCUGACACUGGCCGCAGGAGAAGGGCCGCUCCCCGGAGUGGACCCGCUGGUGGCUGGCCAGGAGGGAAGGGUAGCUGAAGUUGCGGCCACAGUCUGGGCAAGAGUGGGGCAGUCUUCGGGUCAGAGUGUCCUUGAGCCAGGGAUUCAUGGGGCUCUGCCUAGGGUUGCAGAACUCUGGGCAGGCGACGCUGGGCCACCACUCCUUGACAGCCACUUCAUGCGCCACCUCUUUUUGUUUUGGACACUUCUUCAGCCUUUCCUUCUCCUCAUUCCCAUCCCUGGAUCCUGAAACAGGGAAGAUGAUAAAAUCAGAAACUCAUCCCUGGAUCCUGAGACAGGAAAGAUGAUAAAGUCAAAACCAGCAUAUUCCGGGACCAUGUCCUGCCUUGGAAGGCAGCAGGAAUGGUUCAGAAUAUGGCGCCCAGGGAGCACGGCUUAAUGAUAGGGGCCUCAUGAAGCCCUGAAAGCCAGCCUGGAGUAAAAGCAAAUGCCAUGGUCUGCAGGUUAACACAAGAAGGCCCUGAGCACUGGAGAUAAUGAAAGAGGAGUCGGGCCGGGUGCCAUGGCUCACACCUGUUAUCCAAGCACUUCAGGAGGCUGAGGUGGGAGGAUCGCUUGAGGCCAGAAAUUCAAGGGACAGUGAGCUGUGAUCGGGCCACUGCACUCCAGCCUGGGCAACUCUCUAAUAAAAAAAAAAAAAAA